rnacentral:rRNA from 1 species
UACAGAGGGUGCGAGCGUUGUCCGGAAUCACUGGGCGUAAAGGGCGCGUAGGUGGCGUCGCAAGUCGAUGGUGAAAGCUCGGCGCUCAACGCCGAGUCGGCCCUUGAUACUGCGAGGCUGGAGCACUGUAGAGGCUAAUGGAAUUCCGGGUGUAGCGGUGGAAUGCGUAGAGAUCCGGAAGAACACCAGUGGCGAAGGCGGCUUACUGGUCCAUUACUGACGCUGAGGUGCGAAAGCGUGGGGAGCAAACAGGG